AUAAGAAUUCCUUUGGGAAAGAUCCACGUCUGGUGGCCUCAUUGUAGAAGCUAGUGAGGGCUGUGAUCAGUUCGUGUUUGAAGGUGGUGUAGUACAUGUUGGUAUAGCCAUCUGGGCCCGGUGCCUUCUCUUUUGGCAUUUUGUCUACCUGGCAGAGAACUUCGUCAGUGGUGAUAGGGGCGCAUAGGUCAUCUGCUUGAUGCGCUAGGAGUUUGGGAAGGUUUAGUUUUGCUAAGUAUGUGCGUAUGG